AAGUAAGUUUUAUAUUAAAAAUGAGUUCCUUAUUAAUUAGUUAAAUAAAAAAAUUUAAAUUAUAAAGAAAAUUAUAAAACCCUAAAAGUCCUCUAUUUCUCAGAUUCACCUUCUCUCUCUCUCUCUCGCGUCUCACCUUUGUCAGGCGCGAUGGCCGUCGUUCGACUCUUCGAUGACGACAAGCGCCACACAGGCGGCUUCGCAGGCUACUGAGACUCCCAACCCUGCGAGCUCUCCUCCAUACUCGCUGUCAUCAGCCGCAACUGGUUCCCCGAAGGUAGCGCUGUCGUGGCUUCAAAGCCCUUCUCCAAUGAGCUCUGAACUCGCCUCGCAUGUUGGGCAGGACGGUUGAGCUCUGGAUACUGAGAGGAGCUCGAACCACCCUUAGAUUUGGGUUAAAGACCACUGGAGCUGUCGCACAUAGCUCGUCGGAGUCUCGGCACGAAGACGAGCUCGGCCAAAUGGAGUGGAGAUGACCCUCAUAGCCUCCCAAAGACUUGGUCUUUGAAGCCUAGUAGUUGUUUUCCCGAACCACCACUUUGGAGUGGUGGCGCUGCGCCAGAGUCCGGCCGUUGGUCUUAGCCAACCACCAUAUUUGGUGUUCCGGAGUUCAUUCCGAGCUCCAAAGCUCACCAUCGAGCUUGUAUCACUCUCCUGAGCUGCUCAACAAAUGCAGAUAUAUUGAAGAACAACUUGAUGAGAUGAAACAAGAAUGAGUAUAGGAUAUGAUACUAUUAGUUCAAAAUCAUUAUUUGUAUUUGUUUUAUUUCUUACAAAUAUUGACUAUUGUAAUGUCCCGAAAUCCUUAAUGCGGUUUAAUGGCUGGAUUAGUAGGCCGGGAGGGCCAUUACUGUUUAAUUAUGCCAUUAACUGAUAAUAUGAUGUUUAUGUGAAUUAUAUUAUAAUAUGAUGUUAUAUGCAUGCAUGUGGGUCCACAUUUGAUUA